AUGAACGCUGGCGGCGUGCCUCAUACAUGCAAGUCGAGCGAACAGAUGAGGAGCUUGCUCCUCUGACGUUAGCGGCGGACGGGUGAGUAACACGUGGAUAACCUACCUAUAAGACUGGGAUAACUUCGGGAAACCGGAGCUAAUACCGGAUAAUAUAUUGAACCGCAUGGUUCAAUAGUGAAAGACGGUUUUGCUGUCACUUAUAGAUGGAUCCGCGCCGCAUUAGCUAGUUGGUAAGGUAACGGCUUACCAAGGCAACGAUGCGUAGCCGACCUGAGAGGGUGAUCGGUCACACUGGAACUGAGACACGGUCCAGACUCCUACGGGAGGCAGCAGUAGGGAAUCUUCCGCAAUGGGCGAAAGCCUGACGGAGCAACGCCGCGUGAGUGAUGAAGGUCUUCGGAUCGUAAAACUCUGUUAUUAGGGAAGAACAAAUGUGUAAGUAACUAUGCACGUCUUGACGGUACCUAAUCAGAAAGCCACGGCUAACUACGUG
rnacentral:rRNA from 1 species